GGGUGGCGCGCGGCAGCAGGGUUGGGCUCUCGCCGUGAGUCGACGAAGGGAGCGCGGGCGCGCGCCCGCGUCCGCGCACUGAGAGUCGCCUCGGCCGCUCGCUUUCUCGACUCCCGCCUCGCGCCUCGAUCCUGUUCCGCCUCCCUCGGCCCUCCUGCCCGCCCCCACUCGUCGGCCCUCAGCUCAGAGACCUAAUAGGAUGGGGUCUUAGAGAAACAUCUUUUGAGCCACAGACUUCUUUGUUACCAGAAGGAAAAUGAAAGAAGAAAUUUAAAUACCACUUGAAGAGAGCUGAUCGCCACCAACUGGCCUCUGGGUGGAUUUGGCCAAUGGAAGCACCUGUAGAGGGAAGAGAGUGAGGUUAGGAUAUUUCUUCCUGCUGUCUCCGUGCUUCCCUGCAGAGAGUGUGAAGAAAUGACCCUGAAAAGCCUCUGGCAGAGGAUUCUUCUUUCAGGAUGGUGUCGCCUCCUCAGCAGCCCAUCCUCCUCCCCUGGACUCAAGCUCUCAUUCCAGUAACACUCCUUCCUCCUUCUCCAUCUUCAGGGGGAGGUUUGCCAGUCGGUGGGUUCUAAGCAUAUCUCGCUGAUUCCCCCCAACCCUGCCGACACCUCUGUAGGUCGUCCCUUCAUUAAAAUCUCUCCAUUUGAACUAUCUGAGUUUAAUUCCAUUUCCUCCUGGUAUCUCAGUGAUACACGGUAUCAGUACAAAAAUCUCGCUUCACCUUCAGAACCAACAGAUUUGAGACAUUUUAUCCUCUGUGGAACCAUUAGUUAUUUUGUCAUUGGUUGUAUCAGAAAAAAAAAUCAGGAAUGCAAAUCCUUCUUUAUUACAGAUUCAGAUUUGCAUAUUACCAAUGUUAUAUAUUUUAAACAAAACUAUUCAUCAUAAGUUUUAAAAAUUAACUACUGGAGUAGUUAAUGAAUCUGAAUGUAAUUAUGUAGCUUUCAUAAUAUUAAAGUAAAAAUACUAAAAGAAGUAUUUCUUAAAGAAGCAAAUGCUCAAUCUCCAAGUAAAUUUUAUUCUAUGCUCUUCCGGUAUAAGAAUAUGUUAAUAUCUUGAAAAAUAUCAUAUUAUUUUGUGAACUCAUAAAGCUAUUUUGAGUUUUUGUAAAAUGAAAACCUUACCAAAAUGUAUUUUAUUGUUGGAAAGCUUGACCGUUACUGCUGUUUAAUUUUUUGAGCUUGUAAACUUUAUUUGUGCAUGUUUUCAACAAAGAAGGAUUUUAUUGUUAUUACAUAAAACAGGUGAUUUCUAGAUUUUAAAAUCACAAAUUGAAAGCAAGGCACAAUAAUAUAUAUUUCAAGAUAUAGGUACUUAGGAGGCAUCCUUUUAGUCAUCUGUUCAAUGUAGCCAUCUAUUUUACACCUACUGUCUACUAUUGUUUGAGGUCCUUGCCAAAGUAUUGCAGGCUAGUUAGGAAACAUAAAACAAUUAGAAAGUAAUCUAUGACAAGUAAGCUAUCUAUAAAUGGCAAUGAAGGGUAGAACAAAUUCAAUGAAAAUAUCUAUUUAAUCCUAGUGUUUACUGGUCUAGAAGAAUAGGCUGAGUAAAUUAGUAUUUCUCUGGCUGUUGUGGUAACACAUUGCAUGCUAUAACAGUUUUAAGUAAUUACAGGUGCAUUGAAAUUUAUCUAUGGCUUUGUCAUCAUAUUCUAAAAUGUCAUGAGUACUUUUUUCUGACCUCAAUUACUAUGAAAUUGGUUUCCAAUAUUUAAUUAACCAAGAAUAUCAAGUCUAUAGGGUAUUAUUAAGGUGAGACUUCUGUAGCCUUUUCAAUAAAGACCAGAAUUUUGGAGUGCCUUGAACCUUAAUCAUUGAUCUUUAAUUCUUAUUAAGUCAACUGCCCACCUUUUAAAGACUGAGGCCCAGGAAGAGUAAGUUUCUCUGAGACAAUGCAUACAGUACAGUGCUUCUUGGGUAUUGGCUCUAAGACCAGAUGCAAAGAAAGGCUAAAAUCCCAUUUCAUUGUUCAUUAGGUGAGAACCCUUUGUUAAGCUGUGUAACCUCUGUGCAUAGUUUCCUCAUCAGCAAAGUCAGAAAAAGUAUGUACCUGAAGGACUGAUUGUAAGGCUGGGAUGAGAGAAUCCAUGUGAUCAGCCCUCACCAACAGGUGCUGCCCAGUUCAUGAGUGCUGCUGCUGUCCUGCCCAAGUACCCAGCUUGCAGAGUGCCAGAGUUAGAGUCCCAGGGGUGUUCUCCACAGCUGCAUGCUUGAUCCAGGCCUAUCAGAUAUAUUCCAUUGAAAGUCCUCAUUCUCAAAUUUAAAACAAAGACUUUUUGUGUACCUCAAUAGCAAUGCACACACAGUUGGCUUCACAAACAUAUUGUACAUUUCUUUUUUUCAUAUUUAUUCAACAAAUGUAUAUUGACUACCCACCGUGUGACAGGUGUUAUUUGUUGACGGAACCAGGCAUCAUCAGCAAACAAAACUGACAAAGCUUCCUGCCCUCUGUGGAAGGCAUCUGAGGAAGAGACUGGAUUUUGUAGCAACAUGUUAUUCUCAUUAUAAACUUUAUCAUUGGAAUACUAAAGCCAAAUCAUCCCCCAUCUCCUUGAUCAGGAUACCCACUUAAUCUAGGCAGCUACACAAUUGUGAGAGCCUUUGUUUUUUUCUGCUGAAACAUCCUUAAAAAGAUACCUCACAACCCAAGAUUUGGCUUUUCUUAAAUACGAUUUUUAAUUUUUUUCAUUUCUAUCUAGAGAUUUAAUUGGAAAUGGAAAAUCAUCAAUUUUCCAAUUAAAUGUCUGUUCCAAUCAACAUUAUACCUUUUAGGUUGUCAUUGUCAUUUUUAAGUUUAAGCAACUUUAAGGAUUUUGAAUCUGGCUGCCUGUAAAUUAAAGGUGAAAGUAAUCA
rnacentral:lncRNA from 1 species